UACGUAGGGUGCAAGCGUUGUCCGGAAUUAUUGGGCGUAAAGAGCUCGUAGGCGGUCUGUCGCGUCGGAUGUGAAAAUCAGGGCUCAACCCUGGACCUGCAUUCGAUACGGGCAGACUAGAGUUCGGCAGGGGAGACUGGAAGUUCCUGGUGGUAGCGGUGAAAAUGCGCAGAUAUCAGGAGGAACACCGGUGGCGAAGGCGGGUCUCGUGGGCCGAUGACUGACGCUGGAGGAGCGAAAGCGUGGGAGCGAACAG
rnacentral:rRNA from 1 species